rnacentral:lncRNA from 1 species
AACCCCAUCUUUAUCCUGGAGCAACUCUUUGCUAAUAGAGUGGUUGCGUGUUCCCGAUGUAACUGAAUCACUGUGAUCAGCCGAAAACAAUCAACACCGGUAGCACGCUCGCACAUCUACAACGGUGGAAGACCUAUGGACUUAAUAUUUAUGGGGAGGUUCGGAUUUAGGUCUCAUCUAAUCAGUCAUCGUAUGACUGAUUUAACUGGCAUGGGCUAAAUCAGAUUGCUAAGCAACCUAAUUCAAGACCCAAUCUUCCAAAUUGGUCAGGUAAGCGGAGAAUGGUGGGGGUCCCCCCAGUUGC